CCCUGGUCAACCACAUCACUGAUGGCAUCACCGGACGUGCUGUAUUUAACAGACCGAUCAUCGACGCGCCUUUCAGUGGGCACAUGCGGGCAGAAAGAAUGCGGACGCCGCUAAAGACACGUUUCUUCUUUACCCAGACCACCGGUUCAAGUUGGCGUGCCAAGCUGCAGGACAAGGCUUUGUUUUGGUUCGUUUGUUCAGAAGACCAGCGUGGACUGGAACCACUCUCCCGCCUCCGUCGUGUCCAUCACAGUACCCGAAGCCUUCAAGUCUGCUGUAUAUUAUCAUCUUCAUUAAUCUGCCUUCCACACAUGUAUUCUUGACCAUUAACCAUGCAACGCCGAACGGCCUUGAGAGCAAAUAAAUGGAAUUAAAUGAAA